rnacentral:rRNA from 1 species
UUCCCAAUCCGUCUGGAAGGGCGGAGGCACGGAGGGCGAUUCCCCGUACGUGCUCGGUCCGUCCCCGACGAGCGAACGCAUCGGAGGAGUCGGGCCGCUUGAGAGUGCAGCCCGAAUGGGGGUGAUAGGUCUCAUCCAAGGCUAAGUACGUGGGAGACGCCGAUAGCGAACAAGUACGGCGACGGAAAGGUGAAAAGAACCUCGAAAGGGGGGUCAAAAGCGCUCGAAAUCGUAGAGGGGGAAGCGGACCUGACCGACGAGACCUCGUCGUCGCUCGCGCUCGACCCACGCUUCGUCGCGGAGUUCCGGAGGGCUCGCCCCCCGGAGCCGCGGCGCGGCGGGGUCGGGAGGCGCUCGGCGGCGGGCCGCUUGCGCGGGACCGGCGUCGCGCCGAACGAGAGGUCGCCUCGGCUCGCCCGAAAGGACGCGCCGGGGGCCGCCCGGAGGCGCGGCGUCGGCCCGAGGGAGAAGGAGAUCGCAUCGCGGGGCAACGGGUCGAACCCGAGGGGCCCGUCGCCGUUCCCGAGCCGCGAGGCUCGGAGCGGAGGCGGGCUCCCCCGGCGAGGCUCGACCCCCAGGUUUUCGAAUGGCG